GACGAACGCUGGCGGCGUGCUUAACACAUGCAAGUCGAACGGAAAGGCCCUGCUUUUGUGGGGUGCUCGAGUGGCGAACGGGUGAGUAACACGUGAGUAACCUGCCCUUGACUUUGGGAUAACUUCAGGAAACUGGGGCUAAUACCGGAUAGGAGCUCCUGCUGCAUGGUGUGGGUUGGAAAGUUUCGGCGGUUGGGGAUGGACUCGCGGCUUAUCAGCUUGUUGGUGGGGUAGUGGCUUACCAAGGCUUUGACGGGUAGCCGGCCUGAGAGGGUGACCGGCCACAUUGGGACUGAGAUACGGCCCAGAAUCCUACGGGAGGCAGCAGUGGGGAAUAUUGCACAAUGGGCGGAAGCCUGAUGCAGCAACGCCGCGUGCGGGAUGACGGCCUUCGGGUUGUAAACCGCUUUCGCCUGUGACGAAGCGUGAGUGACGGUAAUGGGUAAAGAAGCACCGGCUAACUACGUG
rnacentral:rRNA from 1 species